rnacentral:sRNA from 1 species
AUAUACAAACCUAAGCCAACAAACAGAGAGCCAAAAAAAAAAUCAAAAAAAUUUCUCAAAAAUUAAGUUAAAUCCAGCCUA